GGCCGGACCAUUAUACAGAAGAUACUCAACAUGGGCGGCGCCAUGGACUUCAACAUCUGCAAACCAGAUGUCCUAACUAAAGAAGAGUUCUUAAUGAGACAGAGGAUUGAGCCCAUCAUCUCCUCCAGAGAGAUAAACGCCAACACCUACGAGGUUGUCUCUCCGGAGAACAUCGAGGCUGUAGCUGCGAAGGGUAAACACUGCUUGAUGGAGGCUGACGUGAGCUGUGUUAAUAGUAUUU